UACGUAGGGUGCGAGCGUUGUCCGGAAUUACUGGGCGUAAAGAGCUCGUAGGUGGUUUGUCGCGUUGUCCGUGAAAACUCACAACUCAAUUGUGGGCGUGCGGGCGAUACGGGCAGACUGGAGUACUGCAGGGGAGACUGGAAUUCCUGGUGUAGCGGUGGAAUGCGCAGAUAUCAGGAGGAACACCGGUGGCGAAGGCGGGUCUCUGGGCAGUAACUGACGCUGAGGCGCGAAAGCUGGGGGAGCAAACGGG
rnacentral:rRNA from 1 species